UACGUAGGGGGCAAGCGUUGUCCGGAUUUAUUGGGCGUAAAGAGCGUGUAGGCGGCUAGAUAGGUCCGUUGUGAAAACUCGAGGCUCAACCUCGAGACGCCGGUGGAAACCGUAAAGCUAGAGUCCGGAAGAGGAGAGUGGAAUUCCUGGUGUAGCGGUGAAAUGCGCAGAUAUCAGGAAGAACACCCGUGGCGAAGGCGGCUCUCUGGGACGGUACUGACGCUGAGACGCGAAAGCGUGGGGAGCGAACAGG
rnacentral:rRNA from 1 species